rnacentral:misc_RNA from 1 species
UCAUUCACAUAGAUAAAUCACUUUGCUACAUAGAUAAAUCAUUUGCUAAUCAUUCACAUUUCAAUAUACAUCUUAAAUUUACAUGUUUGUACAAUACCUCAAAUCUAUCAGAGAAUACUCUCUUCACUUCCACCAAAAAAAAAAAAAGUAUCUUCUCUUAGAAAUACAUUGUUCUCACAAAAAAAAAUGGCAGCCAGCAUAAUAAUUUACUGGUGAUCUGAAAACAAGGGAACAUGUAUAACAAAAUCUAAAGUUAAAUUAAUGAUUUUAUUCAGAUAUCAGAACUAUCAGUGUUGCUAUCACUAUAACACUGUGGAUCCCAAAACUUUGAACUAUGCUCAUCUUCAUGUUUCAAAACAGGACAAGAAGCAUUGAAGAAGUCCCUAAAGCGUACAAUUCCACUUUCUUCACCAUAGGUAGUAGUUACGAUUUGAGUUCCUUUCACUGCCAUGGCUGUACAUCUAGAGCUAUGACCUACAUCCUCGGAUUGGCAGCAAAUGAAGGAAUUUGUUUGCAUACCAGUUUCAGCCUCCCAAACAUUUAUGUAUAAAUCCUCUGGUCCUCCUGUGACUAUUUUAUAUGGAUCCAUGUGCAACUGUGUGACUGGACCUGUAUGUCCAUCCAACUCAGCUAAUGGUUCUGGUUUCAGUGUCUCCUGGUUUCUCCUUAUGUCCCAAAGCAGUGCUUUGCCAUUUCCACCAGUGCAGACCAAGGAUUUUGAAGGGGCAAUUGCAAAUGAAUAUAAUUUAGGUUGAUAAAUAGCUGCAGUGAUGACUUUCUGCAUUGUUCUCAAAUCCACAGCCCCAACAGAGGAACCAGCAGCAAAAUAAAGCAAAGAUUCAUGGCAUUUCAUAUCCACAGGUGUGCCAGGCAGAGUAGUCAUUCCCACACAGCAUGAAGAACGAAUAGCAGAAGAUGUAGUUGUAUCCCAAACCCUAACCUUGGAAUCUUUUGAGAUGGUUACCAAAAGUGAAGCUCUGUGCUCUGCAACCGACAUCAAUUUUAUAGGUUUCUCAUGCCCAUAAAAUGUAGCCUUUAAACCAUGUUGACCACGCUUUCCACUUGAGCUAAGGGACCAAAGGCGAACAGUACCAUCCUCCCCACCACUUGCCAAUAACUUGGCACUACUGUCACCUAACAACUUAUCUGACAAGGUUGAAACGGGGCCAUUAUGACCUCUAAAACAGCGAUGGCAAGAGCCCUUCCACCACAAACGAAUAGAAUGAUCACAGCUUGAGGUUACCAAAACAUUUUCUUUCCUUUGUGACUCGCUUCGAAAAAGAGAGGUUUCAUAAAUGGGAAAUAAUCUCAUAGAAGUAAUUCUUGCAUUAUGAUCACUUAGUGUAGCCACAGAGUCUUUUCCAUUUAAAAAGCUAUCAAUCUUCACUGUUCGUAUGGAAGAACCCUGUGAAAAGAUAAUAUCAUUCUUGUCCAACAUAAUAUGAUCAAAAGAUUUCGCAUCCGUAUACAAGUCCGCAGACAAAGGAUCAACAAAUUUGAACUGAUGCAACGAGGCAUGCCUCGCCAAAUACGCGUCCCUCGCUCCUGAAGAGCUCUUUGACGAGAUACGAGCUACUUCUUGUGGCCAUCGCUCGCUGAAGCAGCGCUGCCAGAUGGAAUCGGAAUAAGCGACGCGCUUGAGGAACUUGCAGGUCAUGGCCAAGUUGGACAGGUCCUGCAGGCUCAGGUAAGUGGCACAGAAAGACAGCGAGUCCUCGUUCAAGUCUGUAAUCUUCGAUGGUGGUGGUGAGGUCAAAUCCGUGGAUUCCGAGUGUGAUGGCACCGCCAUCUUCUUCAAUUUUUCGUUGAUGUAACCCUAAGUCAAAGGUAAAAGAAAUUGGGAAAUGGAAGAGAAGCCAGAGCUGGCGGUCGCUUUUUAUUCUGGUUCUGGCCGCCGGGUGUGUGGGGGUGGUAGUGGCCGCCGUUAUCGGAUUUUUCAAAGAGGCGGUGGAUAGUAAUGCUGCUGGAGUUCAAGUGGCAUUUUAACAUUUGCUU